CCCGCUCUAAUUCUCUCCGGUUCGGGUCCUGCAUGGUUAAACCGGGUCAAUCGUGUAAUCAGACCGGGUUUAAGAAGUAGGGUAUUACAUAGAUAGUCACCACUCUCAGGCACAAUGUGUUCACACGAUCAUAAGUUCAUGUUAAUAUGGAGGCAGCAGCAGUGGGUGAUGGUUUAAUCAAUUGAUCAGAAUUUGCAAAUAGAAACCAAAAAAUCUGAGAAAUAACAGAUUCAGCAGUGACAAUAGGACAAUAAGUAUCGGUAACAGAGGAAAAAUCCAGAAUAAUAUGAGAUUGCAAAUACCACGGGAUUAGAAGACGAUCUGGUGAAAAUCUUGGGUGAAGGCAAUUGUCUAUGUUCCCUUUAAAGACCCAAAACCACGAUAUGAUUUGAAGAUCAGAUCGAUAAAACGUCAAAGCGUGGUCCAGAAAAGUAUAUAAAAACAGAGUACUGCCAGCUAUUUUGUGAAGAUAAAUAGCACCUUAAUAGGUAUGUGGAUCAGGUUGAAUCAAGUACCAAAUGACCUCUUGAUAAUGUAUACUCUAACCCCAAAAGGAUUCCCACUCAAUAAGAAUAAUAAAAAAAAACCAAAUCAUUGUGAAAAAAUUUGAAGAAGUGAAAAUGCUUUCGCCACGAAGGUGUUUGUUAUUUUUUUUUCGUUUUUAUCAGAGCAGAAGAAAGAAAGGGUUGAGAGAGAGAGAGAGAGAGAGAGAGAGAGAGAGAGAGAGAGAUAACCGUCAUUGCAAAUGCUCACUUAACAGAGACUGAUGGUAGGGGUUCAGAGUAUAAUUUUGUAUUAUGCAGGGGUUAUCUCUCUAAUAGUGGCAUUCUCCUACUCUAGGAGGUGGCACUGUAAAUUACCCUUAUUGCUUUUGUCUUUGAAGGCAUGUUUGAUUUCUUUUUUCAAGCAUCUGUAUUUUUCUUAUUUAAUGAAGUGACUGAGUUCUCAUCCAGAGGAGAAAUAAGAGUUAGAGAUAUUAACAUUUUUGUUCAAUAGAGGUCAAUUAUCUUUCUAUUACCAUUUUCUCAAUCUUUAGAGCUAGACAUGAAUUACUAAUUACACAGUUACUCAGGCUUGUAGAUGAUUGGUCUAGGUUUUUGUGUCGGCUUGUUGAUUUCCUUCGCAAAUUGUACUUUUUAUUUUUAUCUUGUUCCAUUCUUUAUUUGUUUUAUUUUGAAGUCACAAAUUUUACUUGGCUUUUGAGUUAUUAAUGUCAGAAUCUUAAGAAGAAUCCACAUAAGCACCAGUCAUAGCCACGAUUUCUGAAAUCCAGCAACACCCGUUAAUGGAAACUUCAUAGAGCCCUGGUCAUAUCCUACUACUCAAGCUUUUGCAAAGAGAAGAAGACCUCUUCGGGUUUUGAAUCACCAUGAUGAUUAAGCUUUUUAGGUAUUGGAAGGUUUCGAGGUAGUUUCAACAUGAGAAAAGCGAAAGCAGAGCGGUUACGAGGUGCAUCUAAGAAUUAAGGAUUAAAGGGAGGUGUAUUGCUCUGUUGAAAGAGUCUUAGAAUGCAAAACGGAUGAAAAUCUCUCAAGCCUCAAAAUCAAAUGGAAGCCUCUUUCUUGGUUUUCCAAAAAUGUUGUAACUAUUUGUCUUGUUUGGUUCACAGGUAUGGUCCUCCCAGCUUGGAAGUAUAUCCUUAAUGGUUGAGAAUGACCUUUGCAAGUAGAAGGACAUAACAUCAGACUUUAAAAUAAAUUUAAGGAACUAACAAUUACACUUGGUAUGCUCUUUCAAAUUACAUCCUUUCUGAAAUGCCCCUUUAGAUGAUUUAAGGCUGAGUGAAAUUACAAUGACUAGCUCUAAAUGGCCUAAUAUGGAGAUUCCACUUGUUUGCUA